UACGUAGGGUGCGAGCGUUAAUCGGAAUUACUGGGCGUAAAGCGUGCGCAGGCGGUUCGUUAAGUUCGAUGUGAAAGCCCCGGGCUCAACCUGGGAACUGCAUUGGAAACUGGCGAGCUUGAAUGCGGCAGAGGGGGGUGGAAUUCCGCGUGUAGCAGUGAAAUGCGUAGAGAUGCGGAGGAAUACCGGUGGCGAAGGCGGCAUCCUGGACCGACAUUGACGCUGAACGGCGAAAGCUAGGGGAGCAAACGGG
rnacentral:rRNA from 1 species